rnacentral:tRNA from 1 species
GGCAGAGUGGCCGAGUGGUAAAGGCGUUUGAAUUGAACUCAAAUUCCCUAGGGGAGCGCAGGUUCGAAUCCUGUCUCUGUCU